rnacentral:rRNA from 1 species
GAUGAACGCUGGCGGCGUGCCUAAUACAUGCAAGUCGAGCGAACAGACGAGGAGCUUGCUCCUCUGACGUUAGCGGCGGACGGGUGAGUAACACGUGGAUAACCUACCUAUAAGACUGGGAUAACUUCGGGAAACCGGAGCUAAUACCGGAUAAUAUAUUGAACCGCAUGGUUCAAUAGUGAAAGACGGUUUUGCUGUCACUUAUAGAUGGAUCCGCGCCGCAUUAGCUAGUUGGUAAGGUAACGGCUUACCAAGGCAACGAUGCGUAGCCGACCCGAGAGGGUGGUCGGCCACACUGGAAGUGAGACACGGUCCAGACGCCUGCGGGAGGGAGCAGUAGGGAAUCUUCCGCGAUGGGCGAAAGCCUGACGGAGCAACGCCGCGUGAGUGAUGAAGGUGUUCGGAUCGGAGAGCUCUGUGAUUAGGGGGGAGCGAAUGUGUGAGUAACUGUGCAGGUCUCGACGGUACCGGGGGAGAAAGCCGCGGCUAACUACGUG